GUGGGCAGAGGGGUGGGGCCCGGGACUUGAACCUAUGUGGGGACUAUUUCUGAAUCCCUACGCUUGUUCUGAGCACCACCCCUCUCUCAG
rnacentral:pre_miRNA from 1 species